GUAGGCAUAGUUUUAAAAAAACAUUAGAUUGUGAUUCUAAAAAAAGGGGUUAAAAUCCCCUUGUCCACC
rnacentral:tRNA from 1 species